rnacentral:rRNA from 1 species
CCUACGGGAGGCAGCAGUGAGGAAUUUUCCGCAAUGGGCGAAAGCCUGACGGAGCAAUACCGCGUGAGGGAUGAAGGAUUUUGGUCUGUAAACCUCUUUUCUCAAGAAAGAAGUUCUGACGGUACUUGAGGAAUAAGCAUCGGCUAACUCCGUGCCAGCAGCCGCGGUAAUACGGGGGAUGCAAGCGUUAUCCGGGAUGAUUGGGCGUAAAGCGCCUGUAGGUUGUUUAUUAAGUCCGUUGUUAAAGCCUAGGGCUCAACCCUAGAAAAGCAAUGGAAACUAGUAGACUAGAGUAUGGCAGGGGUAGAGGGAAUUUCUAGUGUAGCGGUGAAAUGCGUAGAUAUUAGAAAGAACACCGGUGGCGAAAGCGCUCUACUGGACCAUUACUGACACUCAGAGGCGAAAGCUAGGGUAGCAAAAGGGAUUAGAUACCCCUGUAGUCCUAGCCGUAAACGAUGGAUACUAGAUGUUGUGCAUUAUGUANAUAUACGUAGACUACGACGUAAGUAUACCGUCCGUCGGGUAGGUACGCGUCGCGAGGUAGGAAACGUAACAAAUAAGUAAUUAGUACGGACGUGAGACGUAGCCGAACGGACGACCGACCGAACGGGAGGUAAGG